rnacentral:lncRNA from 1 species
UUCCAGUUUAAUUUUAUUUUCAAGACGGAAUGUUUUAGCUUUUUGAGUUUUUCCCAAAUAAAUUAAUUCUAGACAUGUGUAGGAGCAGUUUAAUGUUUUAUGCAUACAAGGGAUUGAAGGGAUUGAAUACUUCAUCACAAUUCAUAGUGGUUCUCCAAAUUACAUUUUAUUAAGAAAAGUUCUUUUAUUAAGAAAAGGUUACACAUAGACAAGUUCAUAUAACAAGUGUGGGGGUGUUGCAGAAUCUUGUCCGCAGCUGAUGGCCCCAUCUGCUCCUCUGUAGGACCGUCCCGUAGGAUGUUGCUGCGUCUCCAGUGGUGCGUCAAGGAGAGGCGGCCAGGAGCGUGGUAUCAUGGGCUCAUGUCCAUGUCCAGCGCUGAGGCUAGCAGAGAAGCAAAAGCACUAACAGGCGAACCCCUGUGUGUUGUGCCACCCCCCUCCUGGGCCCAUCGUGUCACCAGCCCCACUGUGAUGUGGCCGGGACAUCAGUGGGGCUGGUGCCAGCGGCACAAUAUGGGAAGAUUGGGAGUUGACCUUCCUCAGCAUGUGGCCAUGGAGUCCAGGGAUCUCUCCUGUCGAAUGUUGACGUGUCAUGGGCUCGUGUUCGUGUCCAGCGCUGAGGCUAGCAGAGAAACAAAUAUGGGCAACAAGACAUUAGUGGGGUUGGUGCCUGUGGCACAAUAUGGGAAGGGACGGGGUGUUGACCUUCCUUAGCAAGUGGCCAUGGAGUCCAGGGAUCUCUCCCGUCGAAUGUUUCCGUGUCAUGGGCUCACAUCCUUGUCCAGCGCUGAGGCUAGGCAACAAGAGAACCGCCAUGUGUAAUACCAGGCCUCUCCUGGGCCCACCAUGUCACCAGCCCCACUGUGAUGUGGCCAUGGCAUCAGUGGGGCUGGUGCCAGCAGCACAAU